AGGGGCCAGAGAAUGAAGGAAGGAGAACCAGGAGAAGAGCAUACUCCCUUACUUCUGCAAUGUAAAUGAAACCAGAGGCAAGAGGCAACCCUACGUAGAUUCACUGCAAGGCUCCACCUUGGUUCUGGAGCAUGAAAGAUGCCACAAAAGGCCUCCUCUCGUAAGAAAGCAGGCUCAUCAGUGGGCAGAACCACUCACAAGUCUGAUAGCAGGGGAGGUUAUCAGCAGAUAAACAAGCCUGAUUCUGCAGUUUGGACCUUCCUUGCAUUGGAAAAGAAGAAAAGAGCUAAUUCAGCUAGAGAAGGCGAGGGGGGAAACUGAGGAAAGAGAGGGCUGCAGGUCUUCAGCCCCCACAUCUGGCGGAG
ensembl:lncRNA